rnacentral:rRNA from 1 species
GUCCCGGGAGUAACUAAGCCGAAAGGUUAAGCUAAUACCUGAUACGAUCGUUGAGCGGCAUCGCUCGAUGAUGAAAGCAGCAAUGCGCGGUUAGAGGGGGCGUGCGGCCCAUUAGCUAGUUGGUGAGGUAAUGGCCCACCCAAGGCAACGAUGGGUAGCUGGUCUGAGAGGACGACCAGCCACACUGGGACUGAGACACGGCCCAG